rnacentral:lncRNA from 1 species
GCACACUAAAUUUGUCCCUGCAUUUACAGAGCUUGAGCCGCACGGGCGGAGAUCUCGCCGCCUGGAUAAGAGCUGCGGCUCAUCGUCAUACGAGUCUGCGGUCAGCAAGGAGGCCCGGAAGCGCCUGUCGGAGAGGUGGAAGACGACCCAUGAGUUGCAGGAUCCCGGAGCUCCCGAUCGAUGCUCGAGCACCCUGGGUGAGAUGCUGGCCUUGUCCGAGAGAGAGGCUCCAGGGAUGCCUCUCAGAUCGCUCUCCUGUCUGGAAGGCUCCUGUGACAUGGUGUCGAGGGAGGAGAUCCUCGCCAGAUGGGGCAGCCCUCUGGGUAUCACCAGUCGGAGGUCCCACAGAGAUGACUUCUCCUGCAGCUCGCCGUCCAAGUUCAUCGCCGAGUCGGCCUUGAUGCACG